AUUGAACGCUGGCGGCAGGCCUAACACAUGCAAGUCGAGCGGAUGAAGGGAGCUUGCUCCUGGCUUCAGCGGCGGACGGGUGAGUAAUGCCUAGGAAUCUGCCUGGUAGUGGGGGAUAACGUCCGUAAACGGGCGCUAAUACCGCAUACGUCCUUAGGGAGAAAGUGGGGGAUCUUCGGACCUCACGCUAUCAGAUGACCCUAGGUCGGAUUAGCUAGUUGGUGGGGUAAAGGCCUACCAAGGCGACGAUCCGUAACUGGUCUGAGAGGAUGAUCAGUCACACUGGAACUGAGACACGGUCCAGACUCCUACGGGAGGCAGCAGUGGGGAAUAUUGGACAAUGGGCGAAAGCCUGAUCCAGCCAUGCCGCGUGUGUGAAGAAGGUCUUCGGAUUGUAAAGCACUUUAAGUUGGGAGGAAGGGCAGUAAGUUAAUACCUUGCUGUUUUGACGUUACCAACAGAAUAAGCACCGGCUAACUUCGUG
rnacentral:rRNA from 1 species